UCACUGAUAAAUGAGACAGAGCAGCCUUAGUGUCAGCCAUGGGGAGCAAACAACAGAGAAACAUUUGCCAUUUGGCCAUGGUCUAUUUUCUCUUGAGUUCAACUUCACCUGCUGCAGAUGGUCAGAUCAGAUUAACUGGGUCUGGGUCUACUCGGUGCUCUGGAAGAGUUGAAAUCUAUUACAACAACACCUGGGGAACAGUCU